rnacentral:rRNA from 1 species
AUGCACGCUGGCGGCGUGCCUCAUACAUGCAAGUCGAGCGAACGGACGAGAAGCUUGCUUCUCUGAUGUUAGCGGCGGACGGGUGAGUAACACGUGGAUAACCUACCUAUAAGACUGGGAUAACUUCGGGAAACCGGAGCUAAUACCGGAUAAUAUUUUGAACCGCAUGGUUCAAAAGUGAAAGACGGUCUUGCUGUCACUUAUAGAUGGAUCCGCGCUGCAUUAGCUAGUUGGUAAGGUAACGACUUACCAAGGCAACGAUGCAUAGCCGACCUGAGAGGGUGAUCGGCCACACUGGAACUGAGACACGGUCCAGACUCCUACGGGAGGCAGCAGUAGGGAAUCUUCCGCAAUGGGCGAAAGCCUGACGGAGCAACGCCGCGUGAGUGAUGAAGGUCUUCGGAUCGUAAAACUCUGUUAUUAGGGAAGAACAUAUGUGUAAGUAACUGUGCACAUCUUGACGGUACCUAAUCAGAAAGCCACGGCUAACUACGUG